GACGAACGCUGGCGGUGUGCUUAACACAUGCGAGUCGAACGGUAAGGCCCUUUCGGGGGUACACGAGUGGCGAACGGGUGAGUAACACGUGAGUAACCUGCCCUCAUCUCUGGGAUAACAGUCGGAAACGGUUGCUAAUACUGGAUAUGAGCUUGCAAGGCAUCUUGUGGGUUGGAAAGAUUUUUUUUGGUUGGGGAUGGACUCGCGGCCUAUCAGCUUGUUGGUGAGGUAGUGGCUCACCAAGGCUUCGACGGGUAGCCGGCCUGGGAGGGCGACCGGCCACAUUGGGACUGGGAUACGGCCCAAACUCCUACGGGAGGCAGCAGUGGGGAAUAUUGCACAAUGGACGGAAGUCUGAUGCAGCAACGCCGCGUGCGGGAUGACGGCCUUCGGGUUGUAAACCGCUUUCAAUUGUGACGAAGCUUUUUUGUGACGGUAGCAGUAGAAGAAGCACCGGCUAACUACGUG
rnacentral:rRNA from 1 species